rnacentral:ncRNA from 1 species
ACGAGGUUCCUGUGCUUUCUCCACAGGCUAAGAGGAAAGAGGGGUAGUUUUUAUUCCCCCGCGGUCACGCCGCUGUAAAGGACGAGCUGGUUUCAAUAUGUCACUGGGCAACCGGGAAGGCGAAACACAGCGAGGACUCCUGAGCCAGAAGACCUGCCCGUC